UAUCCAUGGUGUGGGCAAGCAAGAAGUAAGUCCUUGAACCAUUCUUGACACUGAAAAAAGUUUCAUCUCUUUUUUGGGAUAAGUUCAUAAUGUCAUGCCUGAGAGA